rnacentral:rRNA from 1 species
CCCGCACAAGCGGUGGAUGAUGUGGAUUAAUUCGAUGCAACGCGAAAAACCUUACCUACCCUUGACAUGUCUAGAAGGCCGAAGAGAUUCGGCUGUGCUCGCAAGAGAACUGGAACACAGGUGCUGCAUGGCUGUCGUCAGCUCGUGUCGUGAGAUGUUGGGUUAAGUCCCGCAACCAGCGCAACCCUUGUCAUUAGUUGCUACGAAAGGGCACUCUAAUGAGACUGCCGGUGACAAACC